GACGGAGGGGGCAAGCGUUGUCCGGACUCACUGGGCGUAAAGGGUCCGUAGGCGGUCGGAUGCGUCGGUGCUGAAAGCGCCCGGCUUAACCGGGCGAGGCGUGACGAUACGAUGAGACUCGAGGCAGGCAGAGGAUGGCGGAAUUCCGGGUGUAGUGGUGAAAUGCGUAGAGAUCCGGAGGAACGUCUGUGGCGCAAGCGGCCAUCUGGGCCUGACCUGACGCUGAGGGACGAAAGCGUGGGGAGCGAACCGG
rnacentral:rRNA from 1 species